rnacentral:rRNA from 1 species
UAACGACUCUCGGCAACGGAUAUCUCGGCUCUCGCAUCGAUGAAGAACGUAGCGAAAUGCGAUACUUGGUGUGAAUUGCAGAAUCCCGUGAACCAUCGAGUCUUUGAACGCAAGUUGCGCCCGAAGCCUUCCGGCCGAGGGCACKUCUGCCUGGGCGUCACG